UCCUAACAUUUCAAUUGGAAACAAUAAUAUAAAUAAAGUGUAUUGUGAACCUUUUUGUUGAACUUCAACAGCAGGCAUUUGUCUUUAAGGUGUCAAAAAUGCCUAAUUGACGACGUGCGAACAUCGGCCGCCGCACAAGACAAGCAAAACAAGAAACAAGUGUAUUCACACAACUUUAGCGAAGAAAGGCAAAAUAUAAUAGAAGAAAAUGCCAUAUUGAGACAAAGCGUGAGCACAAGAGGAUCAUUGGCAUCAUAAUAUCGCUUGGCAUUCCAAUAUGAUCCCACUGCGAACUACAGUGAUUAUGAAAAUUUGGAUAUUGGACCAAAUACCCCUAUAUUCUGAUAUUGCAAUGCGUUAAAGUUCAAAAGAGAAACGGCUGAAUUGUGUUGCCCAAGUGGAAAAAUCAAACUGGAUCCAUUACUUACACCACCACAGCCACUGAAACCAUUGUGAAGUGAUCCCGAUUCCAGCUAUUUCCUUCAACACAUCCUUGAAUACAAUAACUGCUUCGCAUGACUUCCUUUGAAGCUAAAAUAUAUUAGGUAAAAAUUA